GAGGGUAUAGCUCAAGUGGUAGAGCAUGUGCUUAGCAUGCACAAGGUCCUGGGUUCAAUCCCCAGUACCUCCU
rfam:Camelus ferus unplaced genomic scaffold scaffold701, whole genome shotgun sequence.